GAUGAACGCUGGCGGCGUGCCUAAUACAUGCAAGUCGAGCGAACAGACGAGGAGCUUGCUCCUCUGACGUUAGCGGCGGACGGGUGAGUAACACGUGGAUAACCUACCUAUAAGACUGGGAUAACUUCGGGAAACCGGAGCUAAUACCGUAUAACAUGUUGAACCGCAUGGUUCAACAGUGAAAGACGGUCUUGCUGUCCCUUAUAGAUGGAUCCGCGCCGCAUUAGCUAGUUGGUAAGGUAACGGCUUACCAAGGCAACGAUGCGUAGCCGACCUGAGAGGGUGAUCGGCCACACUGGAACUGAGACACGGUCCAGACUCCUACGGGAGGCAGCAGUAGGGAAUCUUCCGCAAUGGGCGAAAGCCUGACGGAGCAACGCCGCGUGAGUGAAGAAGGUCUUCGGAUCGUAAAACUCUGUUAUUAGGGAAGAACAAAUGUGUAAGUAACUAUGCACGUCUUGACGGUACCUAAUCAGAAAGCCACGGCUAACUACGUG
rnacentral:rRNA from 1 species